GCAAAGUCUCCCGAGUAUAACAGUACCCCUCAUGUACAGGUUUUAAGGUGUUUUCAAAAGUUACAGAGUCAAAUAUAAGGCUUGUGUUUCAGUUUUUUCACAUUGAAAUUCACCAGAUUGGUUACGUUGCCUUUGAGACCGUAUGGUAGCCCAGGAAUGAGAAUUACCCCCAUGAUGGCAUACCAUUUGCAAUAGUAGACAACCCAAGGUAUUGCAAACGGGGUAUGUCCAGUCUUUUUUAG